AGAGUGAACGCUGGCGGCAGGCCUAACACAUGCAAGUCGAGCGGCAGCGCAGCGGUAGCAAUACUGUGGGCGGCGAGCGGCGGACGGGUGAGGAACACAUCGGAAUCUACCCUGUCGUGGGGGACAACGUAGGGAAACUUACGCUAAUACCGCAUACGACCUUUGGGUGAAAGCGGGGGACUCGCAAGAGCCUCGCGCGAUUGGAUGAGCCGAUGUCCGAUUAGCUAGUUGGCGGGGUAAUGGCCCACCAAGGCGACGAUCGGUAGCUGGUCUGAGAGGACGACCAGCCACACUGGAACUGAGACACGGUCCAGACUCCUACGGGAGGCAGCAGUGGGGAAUAUUGGACAAUGGGGGCAACCCUGAUCCAGCCAUGCCGCGUGGGUGAAGAAGGCCUUCGGGUUGUAAAGUCCUUUUAACGGGGAAGAUAAUGACGGUACCGUAGAAUAAGCCCGGCUAACUUCGUGCCAGCAGCCGC
rnacentral:rRNA from 1 species